AGAGUUUGAUCCUGGCUCAGGAUGAACGCUGGCGGCGUGCCUAACACAUGCAAGUCGAGCGAUUUACUUCGGUAAAGAGCGGCGGACGGGUGAGUAACGCGUGGGUAACCUGCCCUGUACACACGGAUAACAUACCGAAAGGUAUGCUAAUACGAGAUAAAAUACUUUUAUCGCAUGGUAGAAGUAUCAAAGCUUUUGCGGUACAGGAUGGACCCGCGUCUGAUUAGCUAGUUGGUAAGGUAACGGCUUACCAAGGCGACGAUCAGUAGCCGACCUGAGAGGGUGAUCGGCCACAUUGGAACUGAGACACGGUCCAAACUCCUACGGGAGGCAGCAGUGGGGAAUAUUGCACAAUGGGCGAAAGCCUGAUGCAGCAACGCCGCGUGAGCGAUGAAGGCCUUCGGGUCGUAAAGCUCUGUCCUCAAGGAAGAUAAUGACGGUACUUGAGGAGGAAGCCCCGGCUAACUACGUGCCAGCAGCCGCGGU
rnacentral:rRNA from 1 species